rnacentral:rRNA from 1 species
CCUACGGGUGGCUGCAGUGGGGAAUAUUGGACAAUGGGGGGAACCCUGAUCCAGCCAUGCCGCGUGUGUGAAGAAGGCCCUCGGGUUGUAAAGCACUUUCAGUGAGGAAGAACGCCUGGUGGUUAAUACCCAUCAGGAAAGACAUCACUCACAGAAGAAGCACCGGCUAACUCCGUGCCAGCAGCCGCGAUAAUACGGAGGGUGCGAGCGUUAAUCGGAAUUACUGGGCGUAAAGCGCGCGUAGGUGGCUUGAUAAGCCGGUUGUGAAAGCCCCGGGCUCAACCUGGGAACGGCAUCCGGAACUGUCAAGCUAGAGUGCAGGAGAGGAAGGUAGAAUUCCCGGUGUAGCGGUGAAAUGCGUAGAGAUCGGGAGGAAUACCAGUGGCGAAGGCGGCCUUCUGGACUGACACUGACACUGAGGUGCGAAAGCGUGGGUAGCAAACAGGAUUAGAUACCCUUGUAGUC